rnacentral:lncRNA from 1 species
GCUUAUAGUUCCUUCCUGUCUCUUGAUGUCAUCAAGGGUUUCGCACAGGGUGUGGCCCUGCUCUCUCCAAAGCCCUGGCAUUCAGCACACUUACCACACCUCUGUCACCAGCCAGAGCAGCCUCGUGAUCUGGAAACCACACUCAUUCUGAACUUUUCAGUGACUCCACAUGACGGGCAUAAUGUUGUCUUCCUCCAUAAGAAUCUUAAAUCCAUUUGGGAGGUUACAGUUAGGUUUGCAUGGGUACCAUACCUAGAAUUCCCCAAACUGAGGAAUUAUCUGAAUCCAUAGGACACAAUUUCAUUUUAUCCAUUUGCUUUUGGCUGAUGUUGGAUGUAAACUUUAAAGGAAAAAAUACCUAUGCCACUGAGGAAAGUAGAUAACCUGUUCAUUUGACAAAUUGUAACAACAUCACAGGAUCCUGAUAAAUUAUGAAACAUUGAUGAGGUAAACUCAAACUUUCAGAGAGUAGAAUGACACUCUGCACCCAUAUGAGUGUUGAAAAACGCUGCCAUCACUAUUACCCACCUCUACUGUUACCGCCACCAUCACCAUCAUCACCAGCACUGACACCCCAUAAAUAAUGCCAUUGCCACUAUCACUAGUGUAGCCACCACCACCGUUACUACCGCCACCAUCACCAGCACCCUCACAAGCCUUGCCACCACUGUCAUUGUUACCAUGGCCACCAUCACUAGCGCUGUUGCCAAUACACCUUUCUUUCAUCAGUCCAUUGGGGAAAGAACCUAGCAAAAGAAUGUCUGACAGGGAAUAUCCUCUGCACUGGGGGCCACAUCUUCCUAGCAGGUUAAGGGGCAUGGGGUGGUGUGAACUGGAAAGUGCAGUGUUUGUAAACCGAC